GGAACGGGACUAUGCAAGUAGGGGGGCGGGCGGCGGGGCUAUGGCCAGUGUGUGCGCGUCGUGGGCAGGCUGACCUGGGGCGCUCCGGAAGCGGAGGGUGCCGGGAGGAAAUGGCGGCCAGCUCGAAGUCGCAGUGGGGCGGCCCGCGUGGAAAGCGGGGCUCGGCGGGCGGGUGCUCGGUCUGGCCGGGCCCGCGGAGCCGCCGCGAGCACGUCGUGAGGCAUCUGGACCGCGUCAAGCUUCAAGGGAGUGUGCCCCGUCACUGCCACGUUUCGCCCCCAGCACAGGCUGCCUCCUCCACACCAGCUGUUCCCUGGGGGCCUGUGCCAUUGCCAUCCACGUCACAGGGGACACUAGCUCCUGCCAAAUGCUCUGGGAGCACCGGAGCCCGACAGAGCAUCUCAGCAAAGGAGAGAUGAGUGAGUGAGAGAGGAACCGAGCAGGGACCCCCUGGAUGCGGAGAGGAGGAUAAAGGAGCUGCGGAGCAGAGACCGACAGGGGCUUUGAUGGGACGAGAGAGGGGAAGGGAGAUGAAGUGCCACAAGGUGCCCUGGCGAUGGAGGAAGGUAUUUGCUCUAAAGCUUUAAAAAGAGGCAACUGACUGUAACAGGUUCCACCCCCCCACCCCCCUCCCCAAUAUUUAGACGGCGUGCUCUGAAGUACUUUAUUUCUGUCUGGCUUUCAGUGGCGCGUUUCCCCGGCAGCCCAGUGGCAUCUCUCUCGGGCAGUGCCACUGGCCAGAUGUCCCUCCUCAUUGCGUAACACACAGAAAACCUUGUAGUCCAAUUAUAACUAUAUACUUUGGAGAGGGAGAGUGUUAUGGUUUCAAUUCACAGCUGUGCAAGUGAAAUUAGUGCCAGAGCAAAGUCAAAUACUUUUAUAGCGUAAGUGUUUUUAUUUGGUGUAUAUAAACCUAACACUCACCUUUUCAACAAAAGGGAAGGGACAAGGCAUUUCCCAACACCAGUGAGAAGGUUUACUGUUGCACUAAGAACGUGUUCAAAAUGGUAGCAAUUAAACUUAAUCCUGACUUUAAGAGUUGAGCUGGCGCUGGCUUUUGCAGGCUGUGCUGUGUUUGGAGCUGAGCUGCGUCCCCAGAAUCCUCCUGUAGCUCAGCUCCUGUCCUGUCCCUCUGACAGAAUUCCUCUACUCCCUUCCGGGCUAUUUUUUAAAAUGCUGAGCUAUAAUUGGGGAUUUUUGUUUUCCAGGUGCCUCGUCGUAGGCGUCUCGUGCUGCUCGAGAGAUGCCCCAGCCCAGGUUUGCAGCUGGUGGCGGAGCCCCCCUGAGGGGAAGGGGCCAGCCCUGGGUCUGGGUGUUUUGGGCAUUUUUUUGGGGUGAAUAGAAGGAUGCCUGUUUGUCUCAGGGUUGCGAUGAUGUCAUUUGGGGUACCUCGACGUCAUUGGGGCAGUGAUGAUGCAGCGGAGGAGCAGGUGAGUGGGGACGUGGGGUUAUGUGAGGGUCUCCCAAAAGAGGUGGUUCACAGCCCCAAAACGUCUGAAAAUCUGGGGAUGCAUUAAAAAAGGUGAAAACCUGUAACUAUGGGCGUGAGGCAUUGAAAUAGAGAACAAUCUCUCAUUUAUAUAUGAGAAAAGUAUAUAUUGAGAAAUAAUAUUAUGUAUGUAAA